AUGACUGAAGGCGGAGAGAGGCUGGUCUAUAAAACUGGACGGACUCAGACAGACAGAACAAACCCUGAAGCUUCGGCAUCGAACUGCAAACAACCUGAAGGUUUGGUUUUCUUUCCUGCAGGAAACUUCACAGUAAAAAUGGCAAGUGGAGCUAAAAAAGAGAAAGCGAAGGCUGGGACUGUGAGGUUUCAUGUGCUGACAGCCGGAGGGAGUGGCAUACAUUUUAUCAUGAAACCCAGCUCUCUAAAUAAAUUACUUUCAAAAAUAACUGUUGAAGCACAAAGAGGUCAAACGGUGGAAAAAGCUCUGAGAGAAGAAGAUAAAUUUAAAGAUAAAGUGUUUGAAAAGGAGACUGUUCUCUUUGACACUGACCAAAAGAAAAUCAUCCUGCUGUUUGAUCCUGUUGAUGAUCUUGAUGGUCAAACUCACAGGAUCAUUCGGCUCAGAGACAUAGCGGACAUUCGGCCUUUUGCUGAGGACGACAAUUUGACUCAAUGGUUGGCCAACCUGAAUCUGAGUGAAGGUCAGUAGGACGUGAAGUCCAGAGCCCAAAAACAAAACCCAAUCUGAUCAUCAGGGUGUAGUUGGAUGAUUUAAAGAGACAGUCUUUGAUUAAUGUUGUUUGAAAAUGAAAAUCUAAUCUAGAUGUAAUGAUGGAUUAUUAAUCAACCACCAGAACACGAUGAGCGAAGUGAAGAACCCUCAAAGUUUAAAGACAAAUGAAAUGAGACUUUAUCUUUGAGAGAAUCAACAACAGCUGACUUUAUUCUUCUUUGUGUUAGAAAUGAUUUUUGAAUGGAUCUUUAUUCGAAAUGAAAAAUGCUGAUUGUCUGAUGAUCAAUAAUGUUUUUUCUCAUGUUUGUAUUCUGUGAAUGAAAAUCUAAUAAAAGAAUCUGUCUCUUGGCCGGAUGUUGAUUUCUGAUCCUGUAACAGCUGACAGUCGAGGGGGAAACACACCGGUUUCUGAGUUGUGCGCUACACAAACACAACUCCAGUGUGUUCUUCAUUUAAACAGAUUGUUUAGAGACAGGAAACAGGAAGAAACAGAAGUGAAACAACUUCAGAGUAGGAAACAGAAACAUGAAUGAAUGAAUGAACCUGUUGGAGUUUAAACAUCCCAUAAAAGCAGGACGACCUCAGAUCAGAGCAGCAGGCCUCCACCAGGCUCCGCUAACUUUACCGCCAAAACUAAACUAUGAAAAACUCUUCAGCUUCAUCAGCCAACUUCAGUUUUUCACCGAAACGUUCAAAUUAAAGUUCUUAUGACAUCAUCAGUCUUGAGUCACAUGACCUUCCUUCAGUUUAACUUUCGCCCUCGUCUUCCUCUGAAGGACUGAAGCUUCCUGACCUGAAGUCAUGUGACCGACUGAGCCAAUCAAAAAGAAGCCAUAAGUUCAGACCUGAAACCUUCAUCCAGUCUGCUGACGGGGGGGAAGGCAGCCAGAUAGCAUUGAAGUCUAUGGGAAAAUGUCCCUUCUGUCUAUGAAUCACCCAAUCAGGACAGAACAGAGCAGGUCAGCUCCACCUUCCUUAUAUUUCUACUGGAGCUGAUCUGAAUCUGGGGGUUAAGACAUUAAGAUGGAUUUAUCCUCAGUCACUGUCAGUGUCGCUCUCACAGUUCACAUAACUGUAGUCCUCCCAGUGAUCCUCCCCCGUUCUCUCCACGAACCACUGACCUGAACAGAACAACACAAACAGGAC
ensembl:lncRNA